UAAUAUACUAUUUUAGUGUGGAGUGAAUGCCUUGGAAGAAAAAUAUAGGCGCGGACAAUCGCGAAAGUGUUGACACGAGGAAAGCCUGUGACGUCAACCAACCUAAAAUGGGAAACCGGGGCUAAAAAGCCCGCUGCUUAGGCAGUAUCAAGGGGAAGUGAAACAUCUCAGUACCCUGUAGACCAAAUCAACCGAGAUAUCGUUAGUAGUGGUGAGCGAAAGCGAUAAAAAGGCAAAACGAAAAUUUUAUUAUUAAGAAUGAAAAGAAGUUUUGUUUUUCAAUGAAAUUUCUACCUUAGAAGGUGUUAGUCCUGUAAUUCUUUUUUUUUUCGUGAAAGUAAGACGAGGCAAGUUUACCUUGUCUGAGUAUUGGGGGACCACCCUCAAAGCCUAUAGUUAUUUUUCUUACCGAUAGUGAACAAGUACCGUGAGGGAAAGGUGAAAAAGAAGUUGCGACAGUGCAAAGAUCCUGAAACUCCAUAUUUGAGUCGGAGCUAUAAAAAGCAACGGCAUACCUUUUGUAUAAUGGGCAAGUGAAUCUUAAUAAAGGGCAAGCUUAAGCUAAUAAAAGUGUAGGCGAAGAGAAAUCGAGUCCUAUGUGGCAUCCUAAAGUCCUUUGUUAAGUACCCGAAACCGGCUGAUCUAAACUUGAGCAGGCUGAUAUUGUAGUGGCAACAUUCUUUGGAGGGCCGAACCCGUGUAUGUGGCAAAAUACUGGGAUGACUUGAGUUUAGGGGUGAAAGGCCAAUCAAAGUCGGUGAUAGCUGGAUUUCUGCGAAAUCUAUUGAAGUAGAGCGUCCUAAACAGUAAAUCUGGGGUAGAGCACUGUAUAAGCAAGGGGGAGAUCUUCUCUUACUAAACUUUGGCAAACUCCGAAUACAGAUUUUUCAUUUAGGGCAGACAGAGUAUGUAUGCUAAGAUUCAUACUCAAGAGGGAAACAGCCCAGACUGUAGGCUAAGGUCCACAAAAUAGUUUCAGUGGUAAAGGUGAUAUCUGCUCUGAGACCGUCAGGAGGUAGGCUUGGAAGCAGCCAUCCUUUUAAGACAGCGUAACAGCUCACUGACCUAGAGUAGAAGUCCCGCCAAUUUUGAGGGCUUAAAACUAUUACCGAAGCCUCAGACAAAAAUGUUAAGAUAAUUAAAAACUCUUAUAUUUUGUGGUAGCAGAACAUUCCGUAGGUCGUAGAAGUUUUGACGUAAGUUAAGAUCAAGAUAUCGGAAGCGAGAAUACUUGCAUGAGUAGCAUAAAACAAUGAAAUUAAAGCAUUGUGGCCGUAAGUCCAAGGUUUACGAUCUUAAGUAAAACUGGGUCGUGAGAGGGUAACACCUCGAUUUAAAACGGUCCCUAAGCUGUUAAGCCAAAGCUUGCAGUAAUGGGUAAGAUUAAACUGUUAAAAGUUGCUGACGAAAAAUUCACCUUAUUCUUGAAUUUGUCAAGAGUGAGUUAUUUUUUCCAAGAAAAAGGCACUUUAUUUAUACCGUACCUUAAACCGCCUCAGGUGGACGGGUGGAGAACACUAAGGCCUUGAGAUAACCCUGUUGAAGGAACUCGGCAAAAUGACUCUGUAACUUCGGAAUAAGGAGUAAAGGCAUGUAGCGCAAGCUUUUGUCUUUGUCACAAAAUCGGGGGUGGCGACUGUUUAUUAAAAACACAGGUCUCUGCUAACUCGUAAGAGGAUGUAUAGGGACUGACACCUGCCCGGUGCCGGUAGGUGAAGCUUUGAUGUUUACGCAUUGAGGUCAAACCCCGGUAAACGGCGGCUGUAACUAUGACGGUCCUAAGGUAGCGAAAUUCCUUGUCGGGUAAGUUCCGACCCGCAUGAAUGGUGUAACGACUUCCCCGCUGUCUCCAACAGGGACUCAGUGAAAUUACAUAGGUCGUGAAGAUGCGACCAUCCCACAGCUGGACGGAAAGACCCCGUGCACCUUUACUAUAAGCAAAUAUUGUAGGUCAAAGACUCUAGUGUAGAAUAGGUGGGAGCUUAUGAUUCUUUCUCGUCAGAGUCUGAUGAGGCGAUAGUGAAAUACCACCCCGAGAUCUGUUGGCUUACUAACUAAGGGACAGUGUUUGCUGGGUAGUUUGACUGGGGCGGUCGCCUCCUAAAGAGUAACGGAGGCAUACAAAGGUAGGUUCAUCUCCUUCUAAGGGGAAUUGAGUAUAAUGGUAUAAACCUGCUUGACUGAAAGAAAGACAUUUCGAUCAGAGACGUAAGUCGGUCAUAGUGAUCCGGUGGUUCUUUGUGGAAAGGCCAUCGCGCAAUGGAUAAAAGGUACGCCGGGGAUAACAGGCUAAUGAUCCUCUAGAGCCCCUAUCGACGGGUUCGUUUGGCACCUCGAUGUCGACUCAUCACAUCCUGGAGCUGGAAAAGGUUCCAAGGGUUCGGCUGUUCGCCGACGAAAGUGGUACGUGAGUUGGGUUUAGAACGUCGUGAGACAGUUUGGUCCCUAUCUUCUGUGGGUGUUUGAAAAUUCCGAGGACUAGACCUUAGUACGAGAGGACCGGGAAAACUCGAUCCCUUGUGUUCCGGUUGUUCCCUAAGGGGCAUCGCCGGGUAGCUACAUCGAGAAGAGAUAAUCGACCGUUAGGCGAGAAACUCUCCUCUAGUAAAGUUUUCUAACGGGGGUGGAAGAUUACCACUUUGAUAGGCGGGAGGUGUAAGAGCUGUAAGGUUUUCAGCUGACCCGUACUAAUCCCUAGAAAAAUAAAAUUAUAUAGUUUUUGC
rnacentral:rRNA from 1 species